AACUAACAGGAUUCCCCUAGUAACUGCGAGUGAAGCGGGAAAAGCUCAAAUUUAAAAUCUGGUGGUCUCUGGCCAUCCGAGUUGUAAUCUAGAGAAGUGUUACCCGCGUCGGACCGUGUAUAAGUCUCCUGGAAUGGAGCGUCAUAGAGGGUGAGAAUCCCGUCUUUGACACGGACUACCGAGGCUUUGUGGUAUGCUCUCAAAGAGUCGAGUUGUUUGGGAAUGCAGCUCAAAAUGGGUGGUAAAUUCCAUCUAAAGCUAAAUAUUGGCGAGAGACCGAUAGCGAACAAGUACCGUGAGGGAAAGAUGAAAAGAACUUUGGAAAGAGAGUUAAACAGUACGUGAAAUUGCUGAAAGGGAAACGCUUGAAGUCAGUCGCGUUGGCCGGGAAUCAGCCUUGCUUUUGCUUGGUGUACUUUCUGGUUGACGGGCCAGCAUCAGUUUUGACCGGUGGAAAAAGUUCAGGGGAAUGUGGCAUCUUCGGGUGUGUUAUAGCCCUUGUUCGUAUACAUCGGUUGGGACUGAGGAACUCAGCACGCCGCAAGGCCGGGUCUUUGACCACGUUCGUGCUUAGGAUGCUGGCAUAAUGGCUUUAAUCGACCCGUCUUGAAACACGGACCAAGGAGUCUAACAUGCCUGCGAGUGUUUGGGUGGAAAACCCGAGCGCGUAAUGAAAGUGAAAGUUGAGAUCCUUGUCAUGGGGAGCAUCGACGCCCGGACCUGACGUUUUCUGACGGCCCUGCGGUAGAGCAUGUAUGUUGGGACCCGAAAGAUGGUGAACUAUGCCUGAAUAGGGUGAAGCCAGAGGAAACUCUGGUGGAGGCUCGUAGCGAUUCUGACGUGCAAAUCGAUCGUCAAAUUUGGGUAUAGGGGCGAAAGACUAAUCGAACCAUCUAGUAGCUGGUUCCUGCCGAAU
rnacentral:rRNA from 2 species